rnacentral:rRNA from 1 species
AUUGAACGCUGGCGGCAUGCUUUACACAUGCAAGUCGAACGGCAGCGCGGGCUUCGGCCUGGCGGCGAGUGGCGAACGGGUGAGUAAUGCAUCGGAACGUGCCCAGUAGUGGGGGAUAGCCCGGCGAAAGCCGGCUUAAUCCCGCAUACGACCUGAGGGUGAAAGCGGGGGAUCGAAAGUCCUCGCGCUAUUUGAGCGGCCGAGGUCGGAUGAGCUCGUUGGUGGGGUAAAGGCUUACCAAGGCGACGAUCCGUAGCUGGCCUGCGUGGCCGACCUGCCACACUGGGACUGAGACACGGCCCAGACUCCUACGGGAGGCAGCAGGAGGGAAUUUGGAACAAUGGGGGCAAGCCUGACGGAGCAAUGCCGCGUGAGGGAUGAAGGUCUUCGGUUUGUAAAACUCUUUUAUUAGGGAAGAACAUCUGUGGCAGUAUACGCGGGGAGGUUGACGGUACCGAAUCAGAAAGCCCCGGGUAACUACGUG